UCAGAAAGUUGUGGCAAAUUUUUUGAUACAUUUUCAUUCAUAGCCAACUCAAUUAUAUAUUUUUUUUAUACAAAUCACAUUAUACUGUAAUCCAUACACAUUAAAUUUCACUUAAACCAAAGAAGAACCAAGGCUUCUUUACUGGAUCUCACCCCCUUACCUAUUUAAGAGCAUUGCCCCAGCAAGUCCUCUUUUCUGCAUCAGCAUUUUCUACUGUUUGUUGGAUCAUACUCAUUAGCAGAAGAUGCCAUAGUUUUUACUGUCUUGAAAUAAUAAACCUUCUCAUGAGCCCUUGUUCUUAUCCAGCUACUGCUGCACUUCUCUUCAGAUCAGAACUCUCCAAAAGAGUUAUCUGCGUUCACUGUCUCAAAUUGCUCUUCUCCUGUUCUUCCUUGAACCCUCUCCAAAGCUUUUCCUCCUCCACUGCUUCAGAGCCUGCUUUUGUCAAAGUCUCCAAUAACUUCAGUGUUGUCAAGUCUAAUAGCAGGCUCAUCUGAUUUGACUUGGCAUAGCAUUUAACACAACUGAUCACACUGUCUCUCCCGGAACACAUUCUUCGCUGGAGUACUUGGACAUCACAUGCCCUUGGUUCUCCUCCUGCAUCAUAGGCUGUUCACUCUCAGUCAUUUUUUUCCCCCCUAUUUCUUCAUUUCUUCAUCCUCUAACCAUUUAACCAUUGGGAUGCCCCCUUCUCUUUUCUAUAUAAUGCACUUGUGGAGUGAGCUCAAGCAUUCUUCUUUCAUGUAUGACACUGAUGGUUUCCAGUUUUUUUUUUUUUUUUUUUGAGACGGAGUCUGGCUCUGUCACCUAGGCUGGAGUGCAGUGAGGUGAUCUUGACUCACUGCAACCUCCGCCUCCUGGGUUCAAGUGAUUCUCCAGCUUCAGCCUCCCAAGUAGCUGGAACUACAGGUCCAUGCCACCACGCCUGGCUAAUUUUUGUAUUUUUAGUAGAGAUGGGACUUCGCCAUGUUGGCCAGGUUGGUCCUGAACUCCUGACCUCAGGUGGUCCACCCGCCUCAGCCUCCUACAGUGCUGGGAUUACAGGCGUGAGCCACCGCACCCGGUUCGUUUCCAGUUUUUUAUUUACAGUUUGGAUCUUUCCUCAGUGCCUCUAGUCUCAUAUAUACAAAUACCUGCUUAACACUUUCACUUGCCUGUCUAAAUUAACUUGUCCACACUCAGACUCUUGCUUUUCCUUGUUCUUUCUGACCAGUAACAGUGGCCUUCUUGAUAUUUAUUUAAAAAAGAAAACAGAUUCACAGCUCAAGGUUUUUAUAUUUGCUAUUACCUCUGUUUGCUUUUCUCCCAGAUAACCACAUGGCUUAUCUCCCCACCUCCUCAAAUAUCACUAUUCUCAGUCCAGCUACUGUUUCUUCUUAAUUUUCUCUCUAAUGCUUAUUUGACAUGCCGUACAUUUGUCUGUUUAGUGCUUUACAUUCCAAGAAUAUAUGCUCUAAGAGGGCAGUGACUUUUGUCCAUUUUAUUCACGAAUGUAUUCUCAUUUCUUACUAUAGUGCCUGGUCCAUAGUAAGUGCUCAGUUAAUAUACAUUGAGGGAAAAGACUACAAGAAUAUUACUACCAUGAUGAUGUUACAGUUGAUUUUAGUUCCAGGAACUGAAAAUGUGAAGUGCUUCAGUCAGUUUCUCCUUUGAAACUUCACUUUAGAUAACUUACUUCUUUAGGGAGAACAGCAGCCCCUUAUUCUUAAAGGAAGAUUGCCAUUCUGUGCCUUUUUCUUCUGCAGCCUUCUCUGAGUAAAUUGCUCAUUCUAGCUUCUUCUUGGAAUGAGUCUGUUCUCUGAACUUCUCUUGGCUCUUUCCUCUUUCAGCUUGGCUUCUGUUCACGGAGCUUAGUUCUGCUUCCUGACCUCACAGAGCUUGCCCUUUUUAUAGUAAAAAGCCUGUGGUGAUGUCAUUGGCUCAGCUGGUUUCAAUCAGGCUGCUCAGUUGAAGCUGGUGAAUGACUCUGCAAGUUGUCUUUUGGAGGGCUAUACUUAUUCUGAUACAAAAUACGCAGUUAUAUACAGCAUUAACCAUUUAGCAAUUAUCCCAUGCGGAUGAGUCAUGGGAAUGCUUUUUCCCACUCUUUACUAACGGAAAUUCUCAUCGAUCAUUGGCUGCCCCACAAGCACAGCAGAGUCAGGUAUCUGAUGUUGGUCAGCUGCUUACUGGCUCUUACUCUGCUUCUACCCCUCUAGGACCUCCUGCAGCCUUUCUCUUGCCUGUUACUUUAUUCUGCUUUCUAAAUAUCCUUCCUUACAUCCUUAAUUAAGCUACCCCAAACUCAUUUCUCACCUUGAACCUCUGCCUUACUGUUACUCAUCCAUUUGCUGCUCUUGGAUCACACUUUUUUUUUUUUUUUUACCUUGCCAUUUGUAAAAUGUAAUUGAAUUCUGUGUGUGGCUACUCUUUAUUUUUGAAUUAUAGAGCUUCAUCUUUACUAUUAAUCCUGUAACAAUUGCUAUUUUUGAUUUUAGAACAUUGUACUAACUUUUUUCAGUGAGAAGGUGAUUGGUUUGUGAUUUAUUUUUGCUAAUUUUAUGCUUCUAAGUCUGAUGCAAGACAUUUUAAUUAUAUUUUUUAGUUUGGAAGAGAAAGGCUUUAUUGGGAAAUUGCUUGGUUUUCAUAAAAGAAAUCUGUCAUAUUUAAAAAUGGGCCUGCAUAGAAUAUAGUGUGUAUGAAAAGUAGUGGCUACAGAAUACUUGUAGUUAAAGCUCAGAAAGCUUUGAUAGCCAGUGGCGCAAAGGGGGUCCAUGGGGGUGAUUGUUUAAAGGGAUGGCAGCGGGGUAGGGAAAAUGUAAAGUGAAUGUGUAGAAUGAAGGGGUGCUUAUGACCAGGGUGAACUUCUAAUUUAUUGUCUAAAUCAGGAUGCUUUGAAGAUGAAAGUUGUAACAGACAUAAGCUGGGGCUGCCCACGCACACCCUACCUAUAUAUAACAUUGCCAACACACCUCAGAAUUGUGGGUAGGUCUGGGUUGGCCUUCAUGUUCAGUUGCUUUUCAGGAUGCAAUGAAGCUAAUAUUCCCCCUCUGUGGUAUCAACAGUCUGCUUCAUAGCAGAGCAAGAGUCUCAGGAAACACAGUUUAAGAGCUCCAAGGUCAAUAUGGAGAGGUCUGUUUCUGAGCAGCAGCUAUUUCUAAGCCACUGCACGUGGGAAGGUGGUAGAGGGAGUGAUGAGGAGGGGAUCAGGUAUCUUUGGGGAAGUUAAUGGACCUAAUUCUGAGGGUUAGAGAGGGGCAAAAUUUGGGGUAAUGGGGCAAUAGCAGAGGACUGACCAGUGACAGGUAGACUUAAGCAAUCUUUAAAUAAUAUUGAAUAUGUUUUAAAGACAUGCUUACCUCAUUAUAAGCUUAUAAUUAAGAAACUGAAUAUGGCAAAGUAACUGCAGUGUUAAGUUUAUUUCAUAACAUUGAAUUUGAAAGUCAUAGUUAAAAUAACUCUUCUUAAUUUUUUUUUUGUCCUAAUGGCUUUUAAAAUUUCGUUUUUUAUGUUUGUUGCCAGAAUUAAGAAGUGACCCUUUCUCUAUAUAAAGCAAAUGGAGUUUUAUAUGCUAGAUUCAACGUUGUGAACUGGGGAAAAAUAUCUGGUUUUAUGUAGGCUUUAAGAAAAAUCAGGACUGAUCCUAGCAAGAUUAGGAAGGGGAUUUAUAAGACUAUAAUAUAGUCACUAUCUUAGUGUUAUGACUUACUGCUUUCGUUUUCAUGGAAAUUUCUCCUGAAGAACAUUGUGAAUCACUGGUAUAGACAGAAUUCUGAACACUCUUAGACCACUGACAAAGUAAAAAACCCUGUUUGCAGCCGACAGGGUCUGUGAUUUUUCCAUAGUAGGUACUUAAUAAAUAUUGUUGACUUGAUUUGGCUUAGGUUUGUCCCUGGAAAAUGAAAAAGCCAAUGUACAUUUAUAGAUUGAUUUAAAUUUUGGUGAGCAUUUUUGCCAGGCUAUGUACAUUUAGAGAAAUAAUGGCUGAUAUUUUUGUCUAACAGGAAUUGCAGGCAAUGCGUGAGUUGAAUAUGCAAGAUGGACCUCUGUGGAGACAAGAACCAUUGGAAGCUUUUGCAUACCAUGUUAUCUAAAUAUUCAUAAAAAUGAAAAAAAUAUGUAAUCCAUGAUUUUCAUACCAUAAUACGGUACAUAGAAGAAAAGAUUUUUGUUAAAAAGAAGGGGAGUAUUUGUGAACUCUGGAAGAAUCUCAUGUUGAAGAAGAAAUUGUGAAAUCAGAAUGUAGUGUGGGUUUAGUAUUUUCUGUACAGAAUAUGUUUGCGCUAUAUUACUAAAUAAUUCACAGAUCUUUGAUCUGAUUAAUUGAAAUAAAAUAAUUGAAGAUUUGUUAA